rnacentral:rRNA from 1 species
CCUACGGGAGGCAGCAGUGGGGAAUUUUGGACAAUGGGCGCAAGCCCGAUCCAGCCAUGCCGCGUGUGGGAAGAAGGCCUUCGGGUUGUAAACCACUUUUGUCAGGGAAGAAACGGCCUUUUCUAAUACAAGGGGCUAACGACGGUACCUGAAGAAUAAGCACCGGCUAACUACGUGCCAGCAGCCGCGGUAAUACGUAGGGUGCAAGCGUUAAUCGGAAUUACUGGGCGUAAAGCGUGCGCAGGCGGCUUUGCAAGACAGAUGUGAAAUCCCCGGGCUCAACCUGGGAACUGCAUUUGUGACUGCAUGGCUAGAGUGCGGCAGAGGGGGAUGGAAUUCCGCGUGUAGCAGUGAAAUGCGUAGAUAUGCGGAGGAACACCGAUGGCGAAGGCAAUCCCCUGGGCCUGCACUGACGCUCAUGCACGAAAGCGUGGGGAGCAAACAGGAUUAGAUACCCUGGUAGUCCACGCCCUAAACGAUGUCAACUGGUUGUUGGGAGGGUUUCUUCUCAGUAACGUAGCUAACGCGUGAAGUUGACCGCCUGGGGAGUACGGCCGCAAGGUUAAAACUCAAAUGAAUUGACGG